AUCUAAUCUACUACAAUAAAAAUUAGUACAAUAUAAGUAGAAUUCUUGCAUAGUUUUAUUUGUUCAUACUUGUGAACAACCUUUUGUGUAUUUCACCUGAAAUAUCCAAAACUGAUGAUUGAUAAGAUUUCAAAAUAUGCCUAUUGAACUUACAACUAGGCUUAUUUUGCUGCCGCCGCAGACGCUGACCCAGCCCCUGCGGCUGCCAUUGCUGCUGGACCGAUGAGAGUGAAUGCGACACUUAACUCAGAUGACUACAUCAUUCAGAUUCGGCAGGCAAUUGAUGGCAAUGAACAUAACACUAUACUCUUUCAUCUUGCUGAUGGGGAGGACCUUAGGCCAAAUGUUAUUAACGGGAUAAAUCGUGAAGUUGCUGCAAGAAA